rnacentral:tRNA from 1 species
GACCCCAUCGUCUAGUGGUUAGGACGUCGGCCUUUCACGCCGAAAACACGGGUUCGAGUCCCGUUGGGGUCG